AAGUCUUACUAACGCAGACAGUGGAUGCCUUGGUAUGAAGUACUGAAGAAGGACGUAUAAGGCAGCGA
rnacentral:rRNA from 1 species